CCUACGGGAGGCUGCAGUGGGGAAUAUUGGACAAUGGGGGGAACCCUGAUCCAGCCAUGCCGCGUGUGUGAAGAAGGCCCUCGGGUUGUAAAGCACUUUCAGUGAGGAAGAACGCCUGGUGGUUAAUACCCAUCAGGAAAGACAUCACUCACAGAAGAAGCACCGGCUAACUCCGUGCCAGCAGCCGCGGUAAUACGGAGGGUGCGAGCGUUAAUCGGAAUUACUGGGCGUAAAGCGCGCGUAGGUGGCUUGAUAAGCCGGUUGUGAAAGCCCCGGGCUCAACCUGGGAACGGCAUCCGGAACUGUCAAGCUAGAGUGCAGGAGAGGAAGGUAGAAUUCCCGGUGUCGCGGUGAAAUGCGUAGAGAUCGGGAGGAAUACCAGUGGCGAAGGCGGACUUCUGGACUGACACUGACACUGAGGUGCGAAAGCGUGGGUAGCAAACAGGAUUAGAUACCCUAGUAGUC
rnacentral:rRNA from 1 species